UAGGUUGGUGCAAAAGUAAUUGUGGUUUUUGCCAUUGAAAGAAAUGGCGAAAACCACAAUUACUUUUGCACCAACCUAAUA
rnacentral:pre_miRNA from 1 species